GACGAACGCUGGCGGCGUGCUUAACACAUGCAAGUCGAGCGGAAAGGCCCCUUGUGGGUACUCGAGCGGCGAACGGGUGAGUAACACGUGAGUAAUCUGCCCUUCACUUCAGGAUAGCUCCCGGAAACGGGGAUUAAUACUGGAUAUGACACAUUCGCGCAUGUGGGUGUGUGGAAAGUUUUUUCGGUGGGGGAUGUGCUCGCGGCCUAUCAGCUUGAUGGUGGGGUAAUGGCCUACCAUGGCUUCGACGGGUAGCCGGCCUGAGAGGGUGACCGGUCACACUGGGACUGAGACACGGCCCAGACUCCUACGGGAGGCAGCAGUGGGGAAUAUUGGACAAUGGGCGGAAGCCUGAUCUAGCAACGCCGCGUGAGGGAUGACGGCCUUCGGGUUGUAAACCUCUUUCAGCACAGACGAUGCGCAAGUGACGGUAUGUGCAGAAGAAGGACCGGCCAACUACGUGCCAGCAGCCGCGGUAAGAC
rnacentral:rRNA from 1 species